GACGAACGCUGGCGGCGUGCUUAACACAUGCAAGUCGAACGAUGAAGCUGGAGCUUGCUCCGGUGGAUUAGUGGCGAACGGGUGAGUAACACGUGAGCAAUCUGCCCUUGACUCUGGGAUAACUGCGGGAAACUGUAGCUAAUACCGGAUAUGAGGCUCGAAGGCAUCUUCGGGUCUGGAAAGAUUUUCGGUCAAGGAUGAGCUCGCGGCCUAUCAGCUUGUUGGUGAGGUAAUGGCUCACCAAGGCGACGACGGGUAGCCGGCCUGAGAGGGUGACCGGCCACACUGGGACUGAGACACGGCCCAGACUCCUACGGGAGGCAGCAGUGGGGAAUAUUGCACAAUGGGCGAAAGCCUGAUGCAGCAACGCCGCGUGAGGGAUGAAGGCCUUCGGGUUGUAGACCUCUUUUAGCAGGGAAGAAGCGAAAGUGACGGUACCUGCAGAAAAAGCACCGGCUAACUACGUGCCAGCAGCCGCGGUAA
rnacentral:rRNA from 1 species